rnacentral:misc_RNA from 1 species
GAUGAAGAACGUAGCGAAAUGCGAUACUUGGUGUGAAUUGCAGAAUCCCGUGAACCAUCGAGUCUUUGAACGCAAGUUGCGCCCGAAGCCAUUAGGCCGAGGGCACGCCUGCCUGGGCGUCACACGUCGUUGCCCCCCCAUCUACUCCUUCGGGAUUGCGGGGGGCGGAUGAUGGCCUCCCGUGCGCCUCGCCGCGCGGUUGGCAUAAAUGCCAAGUCCUCGGCGACGCACGCCACGACAAUCGGUGGUUGCGAAACCUCGGUUGCCCGUCGUGUGCGGUCGUCGCGCAUCGAGGACUCGAAAAAAUUGCCGGGUUCCGGCUCGGCUUUCAACGCGACCCCAGGUCAGGCGGGGUUACCCGCUGAAUUUAAGCAUAUCAAUAAGCGGAGGA